AACCCAUGGUGAGGGCACCUUUGCUGUAGAUCCUUGUAUCUCUCCCAUUCAUCGUAAAGUGUUUCUGGGUCCAUCUGCACAAAAGAAGAAAUAUCAUUACGUAACUU
rnacentral:snoRNA from 1 species